UACGUAGGGUGCAAGCGUUGUCCGGAAUUAUUGGGCGUAAAGAGCUCGUAGGCGGUUUGUUGCGUCGGCUGUGAAAUCCCGAGGCUCAACCUCGGGUCUGCAGUCGAUACGAGCAAACUAGAGUGUUGCAGGGGAGACUGGAAUUCCUGGUGUAGCGGUGAAAUGCGCAGAUAUCAGGAGGAACACCGGUGGCGAAGGCGGGUCUCUGGGAAACAACUGACGCUGAGGAACGAAAGCGUGGGUAGCAAACAGG
rnacentral:rRNA from 1 species